rnacentral:lncRNA from 1 species
UGUCCACCGAGGAAAACUGGAAAACAGUGAAACCUGCUCUGCAAGACCAGUGUCUACUCACUGUCAACACCACUGGGACCCCUUCUCUACUAUUUCUUAGGCAGUAACACCUGCUUGCGAGACUACUUUAGAAGGAACAACAUCUAAACUUGACGACAGCGUCAUGCAUCCUUGGGUAGCCAUCCUGGGCUUCCUACUCCUUCUGCCAGAUGGUGUAACGUCUUACCGACAAGUGAUUGGAGUGGAGGGUCAGUCUGUCACGCUACCCUGCUUCUAUGAAGGAAAAGUCACAUCCAUAUGCUGGGGCCGAGGGAGAUGUUCUUGGAUAGACUGCAGAAAUACCGUUAUCAGUACUGAUGGAUACAAAGUCACUGAACAGAAGAAUGAACGUUAUAAGCUCAAGGGAGAUAUUGGUAAAAGGGAUGUUUCUUUGACCAUAGAGAAUGCAGUCCUUUCUGACAGUGGCUUGUAUUGUUGCCGUAUUAUAAAAUGGCUUUUCAAUGACGGAGAAAACAUCAUAAAGUUGACUAUAAAGUCAGCUCCACCUACGACAACAGUGAGCCCCACUACCACUUCUGAAAGCACUUCUGAAAGCACAAGUACUACCAAUAUUCCAAGGACCACCUACACCACUGCUCCAAAAAGGAAGACCACUAUUCCAGAAAGGAACAGCACUACCACAGUAGUCACGGAUACUCAUACGACAACGGGGGCCUCUACCUCAGCUCUUCUAAUGCCAACACCCACAGAGGACUACAAGCCAGCUCCACCUACGACAACAGUGAGCCCCACUACCACUUCUGAAAGCACUUCUGAAAGCACUAGUACUACCAAUAUUCCAAGGACCACCUACACCACUGCUCCAAAAAGGAAGACCACUAUUCCAGAAAGGAACAGCACUACCGCAGUAGUCACGGAUACUCGUACAACAACGGGGGCCUCUACCUCAGCUCUUCCAAUGCCAACACCCACAGAGGACCACAAGCCAGCUUCUUCAUCUUCUCCCACGCAGACUACAAGAACCCGGUCUACCUGCCCACGUAAAACAAAUGUAACGCACUCACCAUGGCACUCUACCACCUCAGCAGCUGGGAAUAACACUGUGAUAAACUUACCAAGUGCUGUUUGCUGUAGCAUUCAAACUGGAAUCUACAUUGGAAUCUCUGUUAUUGUCUUGAUAUUACUGCUCAUGGUUGGUGGUAUUCAUGAUUAGCAAAAGAUCUGUUUGCCUGGGUAACAAAAUGAGGCUACUAUGUAUGGUUCCACUGAAAGAGUCUCACAUUGGAGCUUUGAAAAAUGCAGCCAUGAAGCCUGUCCGAGCAGAAGACAACAUCUACGUUAUGGAGGACAUUCUCUAAGUCACGGGUUGAGACCUGGUGGCCUUCUAAGGUGUUAUGUCCUUCACUGUAGAAGACAGUGACCAGAUAUCACCACGUCAGAGUCCUUUCAAGCAGCAGGACAGUUUUUUGGUCAGUUU